ensembl:lncRNA
UCUAUCUGCCAACUGGAAAGGCAACCGUGUUCUGUCUGAUUGAUGAAGGUCUGUAACCGUGUUCUGUCUGAUUGAUGAAGGUCUGUAACCGUGUUCUGUAGGAUUGUUGAAGGUCUGUAACGUGUUCUGUAGGAUUGAUGAAAGUCUGUAACCGUGUUCUGUAGGACUGUUGAAGGUCUGUAACCGUGUUCUGUAGGAUUGUUGAAGGUCUGUAACCGUGUUCUGUAGGACUGUUGAAGGUCUGUAACCGUGUUCUGUAGGAUUGUUGAAGUUCUGUAACCGUGUUCUGUCUGAUUGAUGAAAGUCUGUAACCGUGUUCUGUGUGAUUGUUGAAGGUCUGUAACCGUGUUCUGUGUGAUUGAUGAAGUUCUGUAACCGUGUUCUGUAGGAUUGAUGAAGGUCUGUAACCGUGUUCUGUAGGAUUGUUGAAGUUCUGUAACCGUGUUCUGUAGGAUUGUUGAAGGUCUGUAACCGUGUUCUGUAGGAUUGUUGAAGUUCUGUAACCGUGUUCUGUAGGAUUGUUG